rnacentral:sRNA from 1 species
CCCUAGCCCCGAUUGCAAUGGAAAUCCUUUUUUGCAAAAAAAGAUUGCAAUGGAAAGCGGGAAAAAGC